UUUAACCAUAGAAGCUUGCAUUUAGGCCAAAGCCAUAGCUUGAUACUAUGCUUCUACACUUGAUCUGGUCGCCAUAUCUUGGCUUUUACUUUUUCAAGAUAUUAGAUUCCCCGCAAUUAGAAUGCGAUGCCCUAAAGUAGACCUUCUAUCUGAAGGGAAUCUUGCUCACUUGGUUGAUGUAGCUCAAGGAAUUAAGCCAGUGUUAUUAAGGCGAG
rnacentral:misc_RNA from 1 species